CCUCUCUCUCCUGCUCCCUUUCCUGCUCCCCGGUGAUGAGCUUCUAAGGGAGGAAAUGUCAACAGGCUUCACCUGUUUGAUUCCAUCGAGGGUCUCUCUCAAGUAGUCAUGGCGAUUCUGAUUAAUAGCACUAUGACGGUGAGAGGGUAGUGUUCCACCACUGCCGCAGAAUGAGGUGGGUUCAGAGAAAGAUGUAUUAAGCCUGGAGCAUGCACUGAAAUCAGAUGGAUUGGACUUUGAAAUUGACUCCACCACUUGCCAGCUCUGUGACCUUGGAACUCAGAGACACUUGUUUUGCAGCUGGAGAGGAGUCUCAUGGAAAGUUCGGACACAGGACUGGAAAGAGAGUGGAGCCCCC